UACGGAGGAUGCGAGCGUUAUCCGGAUUUAUUGGGUUUAAAGGGUGCGUAGGCGGUCCGUUAAGUCAGCGGUAAAAUACGGGGGCUCAACCUCCGCCCGCCGUUGAAACUGACGGUCUUGAGUGGGCGAGAAGUAUGCGGAAUGCGUGGUGUAGCGGUGAAAUGCAUAGAUAUCGCGCAGAACUCCGAUUGCGAAGGCAGCGUACCGGCGCCGGACUGACGCUGAGGCACGAAAGCGUGGGUAUCGAACAGG
rnacentral:rRNA from 1 species